UGACUCGAACUAUCCGUUCUCUUUGUAAUAAGUUAAACAGUUACGAACUACGGCAGAAGGGCAUCCACAUUUCUUUCCGUCAACGAUCGUACCCGUAACACCAUAAUCGACCAAUCCAUUCUCUAACCGAACUUCCCGAAGGAAGAAAAGGCGGCCAAAACCUCCGAAAACUCAAAACACUCAUCUCAAGAGCUCUUACCAAACAAAACCCUAGUGCUGGAAGGAGGUUCGUCGCAUCGGAUUUGGCUCUCUUUCUCUAUCAGUCGGGUCAAAUCCCAUGUCUCAGGUACUUUUGGUUCUGAAUCUUCUGAGCCUGCUUUCCUUGAGCUCCGGAGCUACCUCGUUGUCUCUAGGAUCCCGCUCGAUCCUUCGGGCGAUCGACAACGAGAACGGUGGUCCUCACGAUUACGCCGUUGAUUUGAACGCCUCGAAUUUCGAUUCGGUCAUCGGGGACACCCCUGCUACCUUUGCCGUCGUUGAGUUCUUUGCCCACUGGUGCCCAGCCUGCAGAAAUUAUAAGCCUCAUUAUGAAAAAGUUGCUAGGCUAUUUAAUGGACCUGAUGCAGUGCAUCCGGGAAUCAUAUUGAUGAGUAGGGUAGAUUGUGCACUGAAGAUAAACACUAAACUUUGUGAUAAGUUUUCUGUUGUUCAUUAUCCUAUGCUCUUUUGGGGUCCUCCUGCUAAAUUUGUAGCCGGAGGUUGGGAACCUAAACAAGAGAAAAGUGAAAUACGUCUCAUUGAUGAUGGACGGACAGCUGACCGACUGAUUAAUUGGAUAAACAAGCAAACAGACAGCUCUUUUGGUUUGGAUGAUGAGAAAUUUGAGAAUGAGCAUCUUUCAUCAAAUGUAUCAGACCCUGUGCAGAUUGCACGUGCUGUGUAUGAUGUCGAGGAGGUAACAUCAACAGCCUUUGAGAUUAUUUUAGAACACAAGAUGAUCAAAUCAGAAACCCGAGCUUCACUAAUAAAAUUUCUGCAACUUUUGGUGGCUCAUCAUCCUUCUAGGAGGUGCCGGAGGGGAAGUGCUGAUGUACUGGUGAACUUUGAUGAUUUGUGCCCAUUAGACAUGUGGUCACCUAGUAAGCAGGGAGAUAAUAAUGGAGAGGGCACACUGGGAAAUUUUCAGAUUUGUGGAAAAGGCGUACCUCGAGGAUAUUGGAUGUUCUGCCGAGGCAGCAAGAAUGAUACAAGGGGCUUCAGUUGUGGAUUGUGGGUUCUGCUGCAUUCACUGUCUGUGAGAAUUGAGGAUGGAGAGAGCCAAUUUGCAUUUACAGCUAUAUGUGAAUUUGUACACAACUUCUUUGUCUGUGAGGAAUGCCGCCAACAUUUUUAUGACAUGUGUUCAAGUGUCUCUAGUCCUUUCAAAACAAGCCGUGACUUCGCCCUUUGGUUGUGGAGUGCGCACAAUAAGGUUAAUGAGAGAUUAUUCAAAGAAGAAGCAUUUCUUGGGACUGGCGAUCCUAAAUUUCCUAAAAUGAUUUGGCCUCCAAAGCAGCUUUGCUCUUCCUGCCGUCUCUCUCAGAGCGAGAAAAAUAAUGGUAUUGAUUGGGACCAGGAGGAGGUGUUGAAAUUUUUGACUAAUUACUAUGGAAAAAUACUUGUAUCGCUACGCAAGGACAAGAAAAAUCUUGGGAAUGAUAGGUUUGAUGGGUUUCUUGAAGAUUUGGCGGUCUCAGCAAAUGCAGUUGCCGUGCCUCUGGGGGCUGCAUUGGCAAUUGCUGUCGCUAGCUGUGCAUUUGGGGCACUUGCAUGCUGCUGGCGUUCACAGCAGAAGAGUCGGAAGCCAAGGAGAAGCUGAAAUUAAGGUGUUAAGAGGACAAAAACAGACAGACUAUAAGGUGCACAGCCCGGGUGAAUUCAGUGUGUGAAUAGGGGGAAUCCUGAUCAAAGCCUUGUACAAAUGCCCUGCCUGAGAAAGUAUUCAGACGAUGAGCAGCAAGAGCAACAGAAGAGAGCACAUCUUAAUAGCUAGCUACAUCAUAAUUGAAACUUGAUCCUCCAUUUUUUUCUUUCCUUUUUGGAAUUACAGCACACCACACUGAUUAAAGCACUGCAUCAUAAUUUCCGUUUUUCUUAUCCAUCUUGCACACAUUUUCUUGUUGUGAAGCUUCUUCAAUUCACCAGCUACACGUGAAAAUGAAUGAUAUGAGGCUGAGGCUGCAGUGUUGAAGGCUCAGCUUCUUCAUCCGAUGAAGAUGAAAUUGAAGGCUCCUCCUAAUGAGGAAAUUGAAGUUGGUAGAUGUUUCAUAGUUAGUUGCAAUGAACUUUAAACAGUAAAAAAGGAAUCAGAAGAUCAUAUGGGAAUGAAUGUACCUGAUGAUGAUGUCGGCGGCGCUGAAUAGAAGUUACUGCUCUCAUUAUAAUGUAGAUCGGAAGAACAAUCCCAGCAGUUCUUAGAAGUAGCAACUACAUGCAAAGAAGGAAAGAUGAUUGUAAUAUCUGCAAGGGAAGUUCCACCUUUGUCUUCAUGAAAUGAAUUAGCAAGCCCUAAAUUCUCUUACCAGAGAUAGUGGGAAAAAGUACUCAUUGUUUCCACUUAGAAUGAGGGGAAGAGUAUGGCGUAGAAUCAGUAGAACCAUGAACUGCACCGGAGAAAAUGAAUGGGAUUGUAAGAGGCAUCGGUCAAGUUAAAAGGAAUAAAUAAAGAGGAUGUAUUACGACUUGAUCUAAA